AUUGAACGCUGGCGGCAUGCCUUACACAUGCAAGUCGAACGGCAGCACGGGAGCAAUCCUGGUGGCGAGUGGCGAACGGGUGAGUAAAGUAUCGGAACGUGCCCAGUCGUGGGGGAUAACGUAGCGAAAGUUACGCUAAUACCGCAUACGAUCUAUGGAUGAAAGCGGGGGAUCGCAAGACCUCGCGCGAUUGGAGCGGCCGAUAUCAGAUUAGGUAGUUGGUGGGGUAAAGGCUCACCAAGCCGACGAUCGGUAGCUGGUCUGAGAGGACGGCCAGCCACACUGGGACUGAGACACGGCCCAGACUCCUACGGGAGGCAGCAUUGGGUAAUUUUGGACAAUGGGCGAAAGCCGAUCCAGCCAUGCCGCGUGCAGGAUGAAGGCCUUCGGGUUGUAAACUGCUUUUGUACGGAACGAAAAGGUUUGGCCUAAUAAGCUGAGCUCAUGACGGUACCGUAAGAAUAAGCACCGGCUAACUACGUGCCAGCAGCCGCAGUAA
rnacentral:rRNA from 1 species